UACGUAGGGUGCGAGCGUUAAUCGGAAUUACUGGGCGUAAAGCGUGCGCAGGCGGCGCGUUAAGACAGGUGUGAAGGCCCCGAGCUUAACUUGGGAAUUGCGCUUGUGACUGGCGUGCUGGAGUGUGGCAGAGGGAGGUGGAAUUCCACGUGUAGCAGUGAAAUGCGUAGAGAUGUGGAGGAACACCGAUGGCGAAGGCAGCCUCCUGGGCCAGGACUGACGCUCAUGCACGAAAGCGUGGGGAGCAAACAGG
rnacentral:rRNA from 1 species